rnacentral:lncRNA from 1 species
CGGGUCUCCCACUUCUUAAAAUAAAUAAAUGGUCCAUUUGAAGCUCGUAAGCUGCUGGAAAUGGACGUGGCAGGACUGAUCCCCGUCGCUGCUCUAACACCUGCUGGGUAUUAAUUAGCUUUGAUUGAUAGUCGAGAGGCAGGACCAACGAGCCAGAGCUCAACCCCUGCAAACACAACUAGGUCUGCUCCUCCUACCCUUGCCACCAGACGAUUGAAGACCUGAUGUUGUUCUAUUACGUCCCAUUAUUAAAUUAAGGUGAGGCGACUAAAUCUAAUACUGUACGGUGUAGAUACAUUAAUUAUUAAUUUGAUUUCUUAAUUAGAAUUUAGCAACCACUUUUGCGCUCUCGGCACGCGAGCACUGCACUAUUCCCAGGUUGGUUUGGGCAUUUUGCGAGAGCACGCAGUAAUUCUGAAAAGUGCACUCUUUUCAACUUUGUUACCUCAAUUUUCGUCCAAGGUUUUUCAAUUUGGUAUCAAUGUGUUCGCAAUAGAAUUCACAAUAGGACUAUAUGCAUAUAAUUUAAAAAAACACAGCGCGCUCCACCCGCCGAAGUGAGGAAAGCAGGCCAAGGUUACCCGGAAGAGAGUGCCACGCCACCCUAAGGAGCGCCUGGCCUUCUAUUAGAGAGUGCGGUAGUACUGUAAAGUUCAUACUCUUUUUCAACUUUGUCAUCUCAAUUCUUGUCCUAGGUUUUUCAAUUUGAUAUCAAUGUGUUCGCAAUAGAAUUCUCUACAGGACUAAAUGCAAAUAAACUCCAAAAGCCUGGCUUACCAUCCGCAGCAAACAGAGAAAGUGAGAGCGAAUUACCUGGGAGCGAGCAAGAGCAAUGAAAUGCAUACACUCUUUUCACUUUGGAUACCUCAAUUCUCAUCAUAGGUCUUUCAUUUUGGUAUCAAUGUGUUUGCAAUUGACUUCUCUAUAGGACUAAAUGCAUAUGAACCCCAAAAGCCCGGCCUACUGCCCACAGCAAACAAAGUAGUGACAUCGCGUUAUCCUCGUGAGCGCUAAUCAAGCACAAUAAAAUGUGUAUACUCUUUUCAACCUUAUAUAUAAGGCAUAUAAGGUUCAAAACAGCGGCGUGCCCCUCCCACAGCCAAGUGCGAAUGCUGGGCACAGUUUUUAGCCGAGUUACCGGGACUCCUUUUACUGAACGGGCGACGCAGCAUUGCGUCGUUACCGAGCGAUAAUGUUAAUUAAUUUUAUUUCUUAAUUAGAAUUUAGCAACCACUCUCAAAUUAUUAUUAACCCUUGCACUGACUGAAAGGCCGGAAAGUGUGGGAGGGAGGAAGGGCUCGCCAUUAUGAAUAUCAACACAGCCCACAUUGGUGAUAUACCAUGUUGACGUUGACAAGAUCGUUGCAUUAGUUGCCUGAAGGUCCAAUAACCUCGUUUAGAUAACUGCACUGGUUUUUCUCCUCACAGUUGAUAAGUAUCCAAACAUAAUACGUAAGAUUUGGUUAUUUAUUGUGUAUGUAAGGUGUUAGGAGAUAGCAUGGUUACACUACAGGACAUCACCAUAAUCAAAAGUGAGAAUACUAAUUCUUCAACUUCAAAUAGAAGUUAACAAUUGAUGAAACUGGGAUUCUUUAAUUACAUAACCAAUUGUGAUUUUCCCAAUCUAAUAAUUAAAUUGCCGGCAGGAGAGAGAGCAUCAACAUUACGAGUCGCACAAGAGGCAGCCAUAUUCCCCACGAAAUCGUUUCUGGUCCAUGGACGUUGUUAAUUGAGGCUUUCUCUGAUCUACGGACUUUCUUAGACAGAUAAGAAUUUUGUUUACUACUAAUUCCAAUUCAGACAGUGCAGUAAAUCAUAUAAAUUAAUUAAUUAUUCUGAAAUAAACUUGGAGUAUCAGAAUUAAUGCUUUAAAUCAAGUAAAUAAUACUGCACCAUCUGAAUUCAAAUAAUUAAUAAAUAACCCCCACUGUGGGAA